rnacentral:tRNA from 1 species
AACUAUUUAGCUAUAAAAGCAUUAUGUUUUGAAUACAUAAAAAAGAAAAAAUUUCUAAUAGUUU